GAUGAACGCUAGCGGCAGGCUUAACACAUGCAAGUCGAGGGGUAUUUUUCUUCGGAUAGAGAGAACGGCGUACGGGUGCGUAACGCGUAUGCAAUCUACCUUUUACAGAGGGAUAGCCCAGAGAAAUUUGGAUUAAUACCUCAUAGUAUAUAGACUCGGCAUCGAGAUUAUAUUAAAGUCACAACGGUCAAAGAUGAGCAUGCGUCCCAUUAGCUAGUUGGUAAGGUAACGGCUUACCAAGGCUACGAUGGGUAGGGGUCCUGAGAGGGAGAUCCCCCACACUGGUACUGAGACACGGACCAGACUCCUACGGGAGGCAGCAGUGAGGAAGAUUGGACAAUGGGCGCAAGCCUGAUCCAGCCAUGCCGCGUGCAGGAUGACGGUCCUAUGGAUUGUAAACUGCUUUUAUACGAGAAGAAACACUGCUACGGGUAGCAGCUUGACGGUAUCGGAAGAAUAAGGAUCGGCUAACUCCGUG
rnacentral:rRNA from 1 species